AGUAACAGUGUAACUGAACGUUAUUCUGUUUAUGACGAAAAAAAAAAAUAACAGUACACUCGAAACAGAAGUAGUUCGUCGAAAAGUUUGUGAUGAUGUAAAAGAAUAGUUGCUGAUCCGAGUGUAGUGAAGAAUUUACUACUGCAAUGUUGGUAAAUAUUAAAGGUGAUGUACAAUAAUGCGACGAUUGGUGAUAACCAAUAAGAAAUUCUAAUAAACUAAGUUUCAGUAGAAUUUUAGUCUCUUCUAACGAACCGACACCUAGUCGCUUGCUCAGUCGUGCCAAGCAAACAGGCCGAAUAUAACCGAAUUGAUUUAUAUAAUGGUUAUUCGUAUACAUAAGUUUCGCCUUCAAUCCGCAAGAGUAUUACAAGUAUGCGGGCGUACUCGUACUUGAGUAUAGUUUUAAUUGGACAUAUAAUUUUUCGACUAAGCUAGAGCACUAGGUAUGUCACCAUCCAAGCGCAACAAUUUAACUCAACGCCAUACUAUUCAAUCAAAAUUAAUAAAUAAUAUUUUAAUGAUUAAUUGAUUUCUUUCAAUCAAAAAAAAAAUAUGUAUUUACAGAAAAUCAAAUUUUUUAGUAGAAAAUAAAAAAAUGAAAUUAUUAACCGAAACAAUGUAAUAA